rnacentral:lncRNA from 1 species
AAAUCCUUAGUAGAGAAAAAAUCACGGACAAAAGAGAAGAGAGCUUCACUAUAAAAAAUAGAGUACAAUGUUUUGGAGAUUACAAAUAUUGUAUUGCGUCUAAGGCAAAAGAGAAGAAGAAAAUUUCUUAACAGGUUCUUCACCAUCCGCUCGAGCCCUCUGCUACCUACAACAAACAUUCAUUUUUUCUUCACAAUUUAUUUUUUUUUAAAAAAUCUAUCGCUCCUCCAAACUAUUGACGAAUAGAAUUUCA